rnacentral:rRNA from 1 species
UACGUAGGGUGCAAGCGUUAAUCGGAAUUACUGGGCGUAAAGCGUGCGCAGGCGGUUUUGUAAGUCUGAUGUGAAAUCCCCGGGCUCAACCUGGGAAUUGCAUUGGAGACUGCAAGGCUAGAAUCUGGCAGAGGGGGGUAGAAUUUCACGUGUAGCAGUGAAAUGCGUAGAGAUGUGGAGGAACACCGAUGGCGAAGGCAGCCCCCUGGGUCAAGAUUGACGCUCAUGCACGAAAGCGUGGGGAGCAAACAGG